rnacentral:rRNA from 1 species
AUUGAACGCUAGCGGGAUGCCUUACACAUGCAAGUCGAACGGAGUGGCGAACGGGGGAGUAAUGUAUCGGAACGUGACCAGUCGCGGGGGAUAACUACGCGAAAGCGUAGCUAAUACCGCAUACUAUUGAAGCGGCCGAGAUCGGAUUGGCUAGUUGGUGGGGUAAGGCCUCACCAAGGCGACGAACCGUAUCUGGUUUGAGAGGACGACCAGCAACACGGGGACUGAGACACGGCCCAGACUCCUACGGGAGGCAGCAGUGGGUAAUUUUGGCCAAUGGGGGAAACCCUGAUCCAGCCAUCCCGCGUGUGCGAUGAAGGCCUUCGGGUUGUAAAGCACUUUUGGCAGGAAAGCGGUACCUGCAGAAUAAGCACCGGCUAACUACGUGCCAGCAGCCGCGGUAAUUC